rnacentral:ncRNA from 1 species
ACAAUGGAGAGUUUGAUCCUGGCUCAGGAUGAACGCUAGCUACAGGCUUAACACAUGCAAGUCGAGGGGAAACGAUGAGAGAGCUUGCUCUCUUAGGCGUCGACCGGCGCACGGGUGAGUAACGCGUAUCCAACCUGCCCAUUACAGGGGAAUAACCUUGCGAAAGUAAGACUAAUGCCCCAUGGUAUUCUCAGCAGACAUCUAAUGAGGAUUAAAGAUUUAUCGGUAAUGGAUGGGGAUGCGUCUGAUUAGCUUGUUGGCGGGGUAACGGCCCACCAAGGCGACGAUCAGUAGGGGUUCUGAGAGGAAGGUCCCCCACAUUGGAACUGAGACACGGUCCAAACUCCUACGGGAGGCAGCAGUGAGGAAUAUU